UCCUUUUAUGCUUUAAUUUCAUGUUUGAUCGCAAUUUGAUACUUGUGUUUUGUUUUGAUUAUCUAGUUUAUAUGAUCUCUUGUGGAAUUCAUCUAGUUAUUGUUUAAUUUUGGUUCGUUUUGAAUUUUGAACUACUUUUUAGUUGAAAAGCAUAAUCGUAGCAUAACAUUAGCAGGUUUCUGAUUAUAGGUUAGAACAGUAGCAAAGUAGCAGAGGAAGUAUUAGUAGUUUGUUUUUGUAGUUUUUGACUAUAAAGAACUAGUGGCAUAGUAGCAUAGUAGUAGCAUAGAACUAAUAGCAUAGUAGCAUACUGAAAAGAACUAGUUUAGGCUGAAUUCAUAAUAGAGCAGUAGCAUAACAGAUUUUGCGCUUAUGCAUGUAUUAACACA
rnacentral:lncRNA from 1 species